rnacentral:tRNA from 1 species
GGACCAUUAGCUCAGUUGGUUAGAGCAGCCGCCUCAUAAGCGGUCGGUCCGGGGUUCGAUGCCCUGAUGGUCCA